UACGUAGGGGGCGAGCGUUGUCCGGAUUUAUUGGGCGUAAAGAGCUCGUAGGCGGUUUGUCACGUCUGCUGUGAAAUCCCGAGGCUCAACCUCGGGCCUGCAGUGGGUACGGGCAGACUGGAGUGCGGUAGGGGAGAAUGGAAUUCCUGGUGUAGCGGUGGAAUGCGCAGAUAUCAGGAGGAACACCGGUGGCGAAGGCGGCAUCCUGGACCAUUACUGACGCUGAGGCGCGAAAGCUAGGGGAGCAAACGGG
rnacentral:rRNA from 1 species